CAUCCCAGUAUCCUGUUAGCCGAGUACGCUGCCGUUAGAGAUCUAAACAGACAUUUGGACAUUUAUAAUCGUUAGAUACCGAUUAUGACGACUGUCCAAGUGUCCAGCUUAGCUCUCUCACGACAGAGUAUUCGGACUAUCCUGUGAGAUAUCGCUGGAAGUAAUAAACUCGAGCUAUUUGUUUCAAUCAAUCAAUUCCAGCUUCCAGGUGCAUUUUGGAGAUGGGGGCGCGUUAGUCUAUUGAAACCCACCAGGCGAAGCGACAGCCAAGUAAGAAAAGCUACACGACACCACAUCGAGGGCAGGAGUUGUAGCCUAUUCGAUAUUAUGCAAAACACUUUACAUCUGUAACGCAAGUGGACAUUAACGACUUUAGUCAGUCUCAAUGCUUUCAUGCAAUUCUGAUUGACAAAUGCGUAACACGACUGAAAGUGGAAUAUGUUUAAUGUUUCCUUAAUGCCAACACGGUGUUAGGAACGUAUAAUACAGUUGUAGUAGGCCUGUACAACGUGAUCGAGAAGGGAGAAUACCUGGUCUACGACUCCACGUAUUUUUAAUACCCGCAAACAGCGACGUGAAGAAACAUGGAGACGUUCUCCGUUUGAUGACGCUGAACUACGUGUUGGUUACACAAGUGUACAUAUGAUCGUUCAUGCUUAGUUGUGAUGUCAGAGCCAGUUCUUCUCACUCUUCGCCAGACGUCAAUGGAACCCCCACCUUUACCCGCGCGAAAAUCCUGUAGGAUUCCGCCUCUGCCGGAAAGAACACGUCCAAAAUCCACACCCAUAUCGGAAGUGACGUCAGAAUUAGAAAAACGUUUUCGCUUCCAUUCCUUGAAUGAAUUACCCCCUCCGGAACCGCUGUCGGGGUGCAAGAAAACGUACGCCAGCGAAAACUCCAGAAAAACACCAAAAGAGCGUCCUCCGCAGCCUCCGCCUCCACUUCCGCCACGAUCCCGAUGAGUUGAAUGCGUCGUUAAAUAAAACAUUUCCUUCCUUCCUUCGAUCCCGAUGAUUGCCGGAACAGUGUGCAGACUGAAUGAAUCGGAAUCUCCAAUGUUUACUAUUUAUAGGACUUAAGAAGGCGUCAGGAGCGGCUGUUGGACUUAUCUAGGGAGGGGGCGCUUUGUCCAAAAAGGGCACCCACAGUAUUCCAAAGUACAACAUGCAUUAUAGAGGAUUUUUAUGGUACUUUGAAGUUCGGGCGAAAGAGGGAGCAAACCCCAGCAGCCUGCCGCCUGGAUCCGCACCUGGAAUUGCCAUGUGUUUGUGCACACAGACUACCAAUAAUUCAUUAAUCUGUGUCAGCUUUAAUACAUUUGUGUCCUGUUUGCGAAUCCUUACAUUGGGAACAUGUACCAAACGGACAAGAAAUAUUUGAAUUUUUUUUAACAAAUAUUUAGAACUUCAGAGAUUGCCGUAUGGGCUCCAAUUUGGGAUUUUUUUUUUUUUAGGGAGGGAGGCAGGUCUGAAUUUUUGCCUGAAUUAAACAAAAAUGCCAGUCUGGA